CUGCAGCCAUGACUAAGCCAAUCAGGUUCCCCUCCUCAUGCCUCCAAUGUAGAAUGGCUGUAAACAGCAACAUUCUUGGAAUGCAUACAGCCUGUUGUUCAUGUGAACUGCCCUAAGGGACCUUCAAGACAGUU